rnacentral:rRNA from 1 species
GGGAUUACCUCAGUAACGGCGAGUGAAGCGGUAAUAGCUCAAAUUUGAAAUCUGGCUCUUUUAGGGUCCGAGUUGUAAUUUGUAGAAGAUGCUUUGGGUGUGGCUCCGGUCUAAGUUCCUUGGAACAGGACGUCAUAGAGGGUGAGAAUCCCGUAUGUGACUGGUUGCCUUCGCCCGUGUAAAGCUCUUUCGACGAGUCGAGUUGUUUGGGAAUGCAGCUCAAAAUGGGUGGUAUAUUUCAUCUAAAGCUAAAUAUUGGCCAGAGACCGAUAGCGCACAAGUAGAGUGAUCGAAAGAUGAAAAGCACUUUGGAAAGAGAGUUAAACAGUACGUGAAAUUGUUGAAAGGGAAGCGCUUGCAACCAGACUCGCGUGCCAUCAAUCAUCCGGUGUUCUCACUGGUGCACUUGGUGGUGCUCGGGCCAGCAUCAGUUUGGGUGGCGGGAUAAAGGCCUUGGGAAUGUAGCUUCUUUCGGGGAGUGUUAUAGCCCUCGGUGCAAUGCCGCCUAUCUGGACUGAGGACCGCGCUUCGGCUAGGAUGC